rnacentral:rRNA from 1 species
CAAGGCAUACGGCUCAGUAACACGUAGUCAACUUACCCUAUGGACGAGGAUAAUCUCGGGAAACUGAGCAUAAUACUCGAUAGAUCAUAAUGCCUGGAAUGGUUUAUGGUUGAAACGAUUCGUCGCCAUAGGAUAGGACCGCGGCCUAUCAGCUUGUUGGUGAGGUAAUGGCCCACCAAGGCGAUUACAGGUACGGGCUCUGAGAGGAGAAGCCCGGAGAUGGGUACUGAGACAAGGACCCAGGCCCUAUGGGGCGCAGCAGGCGAGAAAACUUUGCAAUGUGCGAAAGCACGACAAGGUUAAUCCGAGUGAUUUCUGCUAAAGAAAUCUUUUGCAAGUCAUAAAACCACUAGUGAAUAAGGGGUGGGCAAGUUCUGGUGUCAGCCGCCGCGGUAAAACCAGCACCUCAAGUGGUCAGGAGGAUUAUUGGGCCUAAAGCAUCCGUAGCCGGCUCUGUAAGUUUUCGGUUAAAUCCAUGUGCUCAACGCAUGGGCUGUCGAAAAUACUGCAUAGCUAGGGAGUGGGAGAGGUAGACGGUACUCGGUAGGAAGGGGUAAAAUCCUUUGAUCUAUCGAUGACCACCUGUGGCGAAGGCGGUCUACCAGAACACGUUCGACGGUGAGGGAUGAAAGCUGGGGGAGCAAACCGGAUUAGAUACUCGGGUAGUCCCAGCUGUAAACGAUGCAGACUCGAUGAUGCAUUGGCAUAUAGCCAGUGCAGUGUCGCAGGGAAGCCGUUAAGUCUGCCGCCUGGGAAGUACGUACGCAAGUAUGAAACUUAAAGGAAUUGGC